CCUACGGGUGGCAGCAGUGGGGAAUCUUCCGCAAUGGGCGAAAGCCUGACGGAGCAACGCCGCGUGAUCGAUUGAAGGCCUUCGGGUUGUAAACAUCUUUUGUCAGGGACUAAUGAGCAAUGCGAAUAGCUUUUUGUAUGACGUUUCCUGUUUAGAAAGCUCCGGCUAACUACGUGCCAGCAGCCGCGGUCAUACGGAGGGAGCAUGCUUUGUCCGGAAUUACUGGGCGUAAAGGGAGCGUAGGUGGGUGCUUAAGUCAGGUGUGAAAGCUCCGGGCUCAACCUGGAGACUGCAAUUGAGACUGGGUGUCUUGAGGGCAGGAGAGGAAAGCGGAAUGCGUGGUGUAGCGGUGAAAUGCGUAGAUAUUAGGAAGAACACCAGUGGCGAAGGCGGCUUUCUGGACUGCACCUGACGCUGAGGCGCGAAAGCGUGGGUAGCGAACGGGAUUAGAUACCCGUGUAGUC
rnacentral:rRNA from 1 species